rnacentral:lncRNA from 1 species
GAAAAAGUUGGCUUCACGAAACAAAGAUGUAGGAAAAGUUUGAAAUAAGCAAGAUCAUUUAGCUCACAGGUAGAGAUCCCACGGAACAUUACCUCGGUUCUCACAAGGGAUUCCAAAAUAUUCAGAAAUCGGCUUAGAAUUGACCUCACACCUUCUCAUCCUUUGAAACUGCCAAUUUAGCGGAUUUUCCCACGUUCUCUGCAACGCCUCAGGAUUUCCCAGAGACCUGCAGGAACUCACGAGCCCACCUGCGCGGCGGCGCCUGCGCUGCGGUGCAGAGCCAGCAGAGGGCAGUGCGCCUGCGCGGUGAGCGUGUGCGCAGCCGCGCGCCCCCUCGCUCUGCAUUGGCCCGCAAAGGCGCGCCACCCAAUCACGCCACAGCGCGCUGGCCAGGGUGCGGGGGGCGAGGGGGCGAGGGGGAGGGGACAUCUCCGCGGCCUGUCACUUGGCCGCAGCCUUACCGCCGGCCCGCAGCCCCUGGCUCUGACUUGCGCUUCCGUGUCCUGAGACCCUCUUCCCGCACCCCACCUUCCGCUGCGCGCGAGCCUCUUCCGGCUUCCACACCGCUCCGGGCCUGUUUCCGCUCCUGAGAUACCUAUAUGAAGAUCCAAAGUAUAAAGAAGAAAAAGAAAUGACAGUACUGUUCUUCCCUCAGCACCAAUGAUCUUCCGCUUUUCUGAUUUUUCAUAUUUAGUAACACCAAGGAGUCAUAGUGAGAUGCAUUAAUAACGCUGGCAGGUUUAUAUAGUAGUCUCUGAAGGCAGAAAAUAAAAGGGGUAUAGCAAGCAUUUUUAAGUCAGG